UACGUAGGGGGCAAGCGUUGUCCGGAUUUAUUGGGCGUAAAGAGCGUGUAGGCGGCUUGGUAGGUCCGCUGUGAAAACUCGAGGCUCAACCUCGAGAUGUCGGCGGAAACCACUUGGCUAGAGUCCGGAAGAGGAGAGUGGAAUUCCUGGUGUAGCGGUGAAAUGCGCAGAUAUCAGGAAGAGCACCUAUGGCGAAGGCAAUCCCCUGGACCUGUACUGACGCUCAUGCACGAAAGCGUGGGGAGCAAACAGG
rnacentral:rRNA from 1 species